rnacentral:rRNA from 1 species
AUUGAACGCUGGCGGCAGGCCUAACACAUGCAAGUCGAGCGGAUGAAGGGAGCUUGCUCCUGGAUUCAGCGGCGGACGGGUGAGUAAUGCCUAGGAAUCUGCCUGGUAGUGGGGGAUAACGUCCGGAAACGGGCGCUAAUACCGCAUACGUCCUGAGGGAGAAAGUGGGGGAUCUUCGGACCUCACGCUAUCAGAUGAGCCUAGGUCGGAUUAGCUAGUUGGUGGGGUAAAGGCCUACCAAGGCGACGAUCCGUAACUGGUCUGAGAGGAUGAUCAGUCACACUGGAACUGAGACACGGUCCAGACUCCUACGGGAGGCAGCAGUGGGGAAUAUUGGACAAUGGGCGAAAGCCUGAUCCAGCCAUGCCGCGUGUGUGAAGAAGGUCUUCGGAUUGUAAAGCACUUUAAGUUGGGAGGAAGGGCAGUAAGUUAAUACCUUGCUGUUUUGACGUUACCAACAGAAUAAGCACCGGCUAACUCGUG